UACGGAGGAUGCAAGCGUUAUCCGGAAUCAUUGGGCGUAAAGCGUCCGCAGGUGGCUAUUCAAGUCUGUUGUUAAAGACUAGAGCUCAACUCUGGAAAGGCAAUGGAAACUGUGUAGCUAGAGUAUGGUAGGGGUUGAGGGAAUUCCCAGUGUAGCGGUGAAAUGCGUAGAUAUUGGGAAGAACACCAGUGGCGAAGGCGCUCAACUGGGCCAUAACUGACACUCAGGGACGAAAGCUAGGGGAGCGAAAGGG
rnacentral:rRNA from 1 species